rnacentral:rRNA from 1 species
UGUACCAUAACCGACACAGGUGGGUAGGUAGAGUAUACUAAGGGGCGCGAGAUAACUCUCUCUAAGGAACUCGGCAAAAUGACUCCGUAACUUCGGGAGAAGGAGUGCCUUAUUUAUAAGGUUGCAAUAACAAGAUCCAAGCAACUGUUUAUCAGAAACACAGGUCUCCGCUAAGUCGUAAGACGAUGUAUGGGGGCUGACGCCUGCCCAGUGCCAGAAGGUUAAAGAAGUUGGUUAGCAUCUGCGGAGCUGAUAACUGAAGCCCUGGUGAACGGCGGCCGUAACAAUAACGGUCCUAAGGUAGCGAAAUUCCUUGUCGGGUAAGUUCCGACCCGCACGAAAGGCGUAAUGAUUUGGAUACUGUCUCGGAGAGGGGCUCGGUGAAAUAGACUUGUCUGUGAAGAUGCGGACUACCUGCACCUGGACAGAAAGACCCUAUGAAGCUUUACUGUAACUUGAAAUUGAAAUUGGACUUUACUUGCGCAGUAUAGGUGGGAGGCGUUGAGUUUAUUCUUGCGGGAAUUUAGGAGCCAUCAGUGAGAUACCACUCAGGUAAUGUUAGAUUUCUAACUUUGAAUCAUGAUCUGGUCAAAGAACAGUUUCAGGCGGGCAGUUUGACUGGGGCGGUCGCCUCCCAAAUGGUAACGGAGGCGUACAAAGGUUUCCUCUGAACGUGUAGAAAUCGUAUCUAGAGUGUAAAGGCAUAAGGAAGCUUGACUGUGAGACCUACAAGUCGAGCAGGGACGAAAGUCGGUCUUAGUGAUCUGACGGUGCUGAGUGGAAAGGCCGUCACUCAACGGAUAAAAGUUACUCUAAGGAUAACAGGCUGAUCUCCCCCAAGAGUUCACAUCGACGGGGAGGUUUGGCACCUCGAUGUCGGCUCAUCGCAUCCUGGGGCGGUAGUACGUCCCAAGGGUUGGGCUGUUCGCCCAUGAAAGCGGUACGCGAGCUGGGUUCAGAACGUCGUGAGACAGUUCGGUCCAUAUCCGGUGUAGGCGUUAGAAUAUUGAGAGGAGCCUUCUUUAGUACGAGAGGACCGAGAAGGACAUACCUCUGGUGUACCAGUUAUCGUGCCAACGGUAAACGCUGGGUAGCUAUGUAUGGAGAGGAUAACCGCUGAAAGCAUCUAAGUGGGAAGCCCACCUCAAGAUAAGUAUUCUCAUCACGAAAGUGAGUAAGGUCACGGUAAGACUAACCGUUUGAUAGGCAUUAAGUCUAAAUAUAGUAAUAUAUCAGCUGAGAUGUACUAACAGACCGAGGACUUG